GAGCACUGUUUCGGCAAGGGGGUCAUCCCGACUUACCAACCCGAUGCAAACUGCGAAUACCGGAGAAUGUUAUCACGGGAGACACACGGCGGGUGCUAACGUCCGUCGUGAAGAGGGAAACAACCCAGACCGCCAGCUAAGGUCCCAAAGUCAUGGUUAAGUGGGAAACGAUGUGGGAAGGCCCAGACAGCCAGGAUGUUGGCUUAGAAGCAGCCAUCAUUUAAAGAAAGCGUAAUAGCUCACUGGUCGAGUCGGCCUGCGCGGAAGAUGUAACGGGGCUAAACCAUGCACCGAAGCUGCGGCAGCGACGCUGAUGCGUUGUUGGGUAGGGGAGCGUUCUGUAAGCCUGCGAAGGUGUGCUGUGAGGCAUGCUGGAGGUAUCAGAAGUGCGAAUGCUGACAUAAGUAACGAUAAAGCGGGUGAAAAGCCCGCUCGCCGGAAGACCAAGGGUUCCUGUCCAACGUUAAUCGGGGCAGGGUGAGUCGACCCCUAAGGCGAGGCCGAAAGGCGUAGUCGAUGGGAAACAGGUUAAUAUUCCUGUACUUGGUGUUACUGCGAAGGGGGGACGGAGAAGGCUAUGUUGGCCGGGCGACGGUUGUCCCGGUUUAAGCGUGUAGGCUGGUUUUCCAGGCAAAUCCGGAAAAUCAAGGCUGAGGCGUGAUGACGAGGCACUACGGUGCUGAAGCAACAAAUGCCCUGCUUCCAGGAAAAGCCUCUAAGCAUCAGGUAACAUCAAAUCGUACCCCAAACCGACACAGGUGGUCAGGUAGAGAAUACCAAGGCGCUUGAGAGAACUCGGGUGAAGGAACUAGGCAAAAUGGUGCCGUAACUUCGGGAGAAGGCACGCUGAUAUGUAGGUGAAGUCCCUCGCGGAUGGAGCUGAAAUCAGUCGAAGAUACCAGCUGGCUGCAACUGUUUAUUAAAAACACAGCACUGUGCAAACACGAAAGUGGACGUAUACGGUGUGACGCCUGCCCGGUGCCGGAAGGUUAAUUGAUGGGGUCAGCGCAAGCGAAGCUCUUGAUCGAAGCCCCGGUAAACGGCGGCCGUAACUAUAACGGUCCUAAGGUAGCGAAAUUCCUUGUCGGGUAAGUUCCGACCUGCACGAAUGGCGUAAUGAUGGCCAGGCUGUCUCCACCCGAGACUCAGUGAAAUUGAACUCGCUGUGAAGAUGCAGUGUACCCGCGGCAAGACGGAAAGACCCCGUGAACCUUUACUAUAGCUUGACACUGAACAUUGAGCCUUGAUGUGUAGGAUAGGUGGGAGGCUUUGAAGUGUGGACGCCAGUCUGCAUGGAGCCGGCCUUGAAAUACCACCCUUUAAUGUUUGAUGUUCUAACGUUGACCCGUGAUCCGGGUUGCGGACAGUGUCUGGUGGGUAGUUUGACUGGGGCGGUCUCCUCCUAAAGAGUAACGGAGGAGCACGAAGGUUGGCUAAUCCUGGUCGGACAUCAGGAGGUUAGUGCAAUGGCAUAAGCCAGCUUGACUGCGAGCGUGACGGCGCGAGCAGGUGCGAAAGCAGGUCAUAGUGAUCCGGUGGUUCUGAAUGGAAGGGCCAUCGCUCAACGGAUAAAAGGUACUCCGGGGAUAACAGGCUGAUACCGCCCAAGAGUUCAUAUCGACGGCGGUGUUUGGCACCUCGAUGUCGGCUCAUCACAUCCUGGGGCUGAAGUAGGUCCCAAGGGUAUGGCUGUUCGCCAUUUAAAGUGGUACGCGAGCUGGGUUUAGAACGUCGUGAGACAGUUCGGUCCCUAUCUGCCGUGGGCGCUGGAGAACUGAGGGGGGCUGCUCCUAGUACGAGAGGACCGGAGUGGACGCAUCACUGGUGUUCGGGUUGUCAUGCCAAUGGCACUGCCCGGUAGCUAAAUGCGGAAGAGAUAAGUGCUGAAAGCAUCUAAGCACGAAACUUGCCCCGAGAUGAGUUCUCCCUGACUCCUUGAGAGUCCUGAAGGAACGUUGAAGACGACGACGUUGAUAGGCCGGGUGUGUAAGCGCAGCGAUGCGUUGAGCUAACCGGUACUAAUGAACCGUGAGG
rnacentral:rRNA from 1 species